rnacentral:tRNA from 1 species
UGGCGGAGUAGAAGGGAUUCGAACCCUUGAACCGAUUUCUCGGACUACGUCCUUAGCAGGGACGCCUCUUAUAGCCACUUGAGUACUACUCC